rnacentral:pre_miRNA from 1 species
ACAAGGACGCUUGGUCUGCCGGGCAAGUUGGUAAUUGACAUUCAUAUUAGAAGUUAAAAAAAAUAUUGAUAUGAAUGUCAAUUACCAACUUGCCCAGCAGACAAAGCUU